rnacentral:rRNA from 1 species
AUCUACCUUUAACUGGGGGAAAGUCGCUGGAAACGGCGAAUAAUCCCGCAUAAGACCCCGAUGUCGCAUGGCAUUGUGGUAAAAGGCUUCGGCUGGUAAAAGAUGAUUGUGCGUUCCAUUAGCUAGAUGGUGAGGUAACGGCUCACCAUGGCGACGAUGGUUAGGGGGCGUGAGAGCGUGAUCCCCCACACGGGUACUGAGACACGGACCCGACUCCUACGGGAGGCAGCAGUAAGGAAUAUUGGUCAAUGGGCGAAAGCCUGAACCAGCCAUGCCGCGUGUAUGAUGAAGGCCCUUAGGGUUGUAAAGUACUUUUGUCUGGGAAGAAUGGCAGAGAUUUAUCUUUGUAGGGACGGUACCAGAAGAAUAAGCACCGGCUAACUCCGUGCCAGCAGCCGCGGUAAUACGGAGGGUGCAAGCGUUAUCCGGAAUCACUGGGUUUAAAGGGUACGUAGGCGGUUCGAUAAGUCAGACGUUAAAGGCUGUGGCUAAACCAUGGUACGCGUUUGAAACUAUCGAACUUGAAUAUGUUCGAGGUGCAUGGAAUGCUUCAUGUAGCGGUGAAAUGCAUAGAUAUGAAGUAGAACACCAAAAGCGAAGGCAGUGCACUAGGGCAGAAUUGACGCUGAGGUACGAAAGCGUGGGGUAGCGAACAG